CUCCACACCACUCUUGCUUGAUCGUCAUUGCUCCAUACCCGGUUCACUCACCCUCGUCCUCCGUUCAGUCGGCUGGGCUCGUCCUCCGGACCUCUCCUCUUCGGGCUUCCCCCACGGCGUCCUCCCAGUUCUCCCUUGCAUCCUCCCUUCCUCGGCCCCAGUGUUCCCCGGCUCCCUGGUUUCCGUCCCGUCGGUUUCCCUGUGCCAGUGUUUCCCCGGCAUCCUCCUCUCCCUCCACUCCAGUCCCUCAACCCCCUUUUUUCCCUAAAUAAACCUCCUUCGCUCAAAGUGCUGCGUUUGGGUCCUCUCGGUCCCCAUGCCAUACCACCCACUUAACACUUCUCACCUCCAACCUGUCAGACCUCAACAGUAAAGCCACCAAAGGCAAAGCACUGACUAUUGCACAUGACCCCAGUCACCCUCAUCAUCUUCUUCACAGUGCUUUCAUCUGGACACGGAUACAUCUAGCCUGGAAAUGGGUCCACUACAGCAGAAGCUUCGUGCUGUAUGCCAUCGCAUCCUUAAUAAAACUCCCCAGCAGUGA